AUUGAACGCUGGCGGAAUGCUUUACACAUGCAAGUCGAACGGUAGAGGGGGCAACCCCUCGAGAGUGGCGAACGGGUGAGUAAUAUAUCGGAACGUGCCCAGUCGUGGGGGAUAACGUAGCGAAAGUUACGCUAAUACCGCAUACGAUCUAAGGAUGAAAGCGGGGGAUCGCAAGACCUCGCGCGAUUGGAGCGGCCGAUAUCAGAUUGGGUAGUUGGUGGGGUAAAGGCUCACCAAGCCAACGAUCUGUAGCUGGUCUGAGAGGACGACCAGCCACACUGCAACUGAGACACGGUCCAGACUCCUACGGGAGGCAGCAGUGGGGAAUUUUGGACAAUGGACGCAAGUCUGAUCCAGCCAUUCCGCGUGCAGGAUGAAGGCCCUCGGGUUGUAAACUGCUUUUGUACGGAACGAAAAGGUCUCUCUUAAUACGGGGGACUCAUGACGGUACCGUAAGAAUAAGCACCGGCUAACUACGUGCCAGCCGCCGCCGUAAUAC
rnacentral:rRNA from 1 species